UACGUAGGGUGCAAGCGUUAAUCGGAAUUACUGGGCGUAAAGCGUGCGCAGGCGGUUUUGUAAGUCUGACGUGAAAUCCCCGGGCUCAACCUGGGAAUGGCAUUGGCGACUGUACGGCUAGAGUGUGUCAGAGGGGGGUAGAAUUCCACGUGUAGCAGUGAAAUGCGUAGAGAUGUGGAGGAAUACCGAUGGCGAAGGCAAUCCCCUGGGCCUGCACUGACGCUCAUGCACGAAAGCGUGGGGAGCAAACAGG
rnacentral:rRNA from 1 species